GACGUGGAAGACUAGUGUUAUUCAUCUUUAAUAGGUUUAAAAGGGUAACUAGACGGUAUUUCUAGCCAAAAAAUAGGUACAGAUUUUACUAGAGUUAUAUGAGAGAAGGUGAGUAUUUAAGGUGGAGAGAUGAAAUUUUUUUAAUACCUUAAGGACUGAUAAUGGCGAAAGCAACCUUCUAUGUAAUAACUGACGUUGAGGGACGAAGGCCUGGGUAGCCAACAGG
rnacentral:rRNA from 1 species